GACGAACGCUGGCGGCGUGCCUAACACAUGCAAGUCGAGCGAAUGAAGUUCCUUCGGGAAUGGAUUUAGCGGCGGACGGGUGAGUAACACGUGGGCAACCUGCCUCAUAGAGGGGAAUAGCCUUCCGAAAGGGAGAUUAAUACCGCAUAAGAUUGUAGUACCGCAUGAUACAGCAAUUAAAGGAGCAAUCCGCUAUGAGAUGGGCCCGCGGCGCAUUAGCUAGUUGGUGAGGUGACGGCUCACCAAGGCGACGAUGCGUAGCCGACCUGAGAGGGUGAUCGGCCACAUUGGGACUGAGACACGGCCCAGACUCCUACGGGAGGCAGCAGUGGGGAAUAUUGCACAAUGGGGGAAACCCUGAUGCAGCAACGCCGCGUGAGUGAUGACGGCCUUCGGGUUGUAAAGCUCUGUCUUCAGGGACGAUAAUGACGGUACCUGAGGAGGAAGCCACGGCUAACUACGUGCCAGCAGCCGCGGUAA
rnacentral:rRNA from 1 species